UUGGAAGUACCCCAAAGGAAUAUCUAUCUACCCAUCUGUCCUGCCACAAAACAGAUCAUUCUCAACAGCAGUGGAAAUAGAAUCAGCUCCAUUGCCUGGGAAUCAUUCUUGUCAGGAGUGCUUUCGUUCUAACCUAGGUAAAGGAUCCAAACAAGCAGACUACACACAGAAAGAUGACUUCAUUUCUUCACCGAGUGUUUCGUGAGUGUCUGCUGCAUGCUGGACACUAGCAAAGGCAGAAGGAAUUCAACCACAACUGAAAUGAACACCGGGUAUCCAAGGGCAGGAGGAAAAUGCUGGAGAAAGGACCUCAAGUCAAGUGAUGGAUGGCUUCAAGGAAGGCACAACAGAGAGCUGUUGGGGUCCAGGAGAAGAAGUAUGUAAUUCUGUCUGGGUGGAGUGGGCAGAAGCAAACAAACAAACAAAAAUGUUUCUUUUCGGGCAUGGUAGCUCACAUCUGUAAUCCCAGCACUCUGAGAGGCUGAGAGAGGAGGGUCACUUGAGCUCAGGAGCUCAAGAUCAGCCUGUGCAAUGUAGCGAGACCUCAUCUCUAUGAAAAAUAUAAAAAUUAGCCAGGCAUGAUGGCAUGUACCUGUAGUCCCAGUUAUUCUGGAGACUGAAGUCAAGGCUGCAGAGAGCUAUAAUUGUGCAGCUGUACUCCAACCUAGGCAACAGAUCAAGGCCCUGUCUCGCAACUACAACAACAAAAACAAAAAAAUGGUUCCAUAGUAGAAGUAAUGCCCAAGCUGAGCUUUGCAAUGCGAGUCAAGAAUACCUGGGAUGAUGUUGGGAAAAGGAAAUUCAAAUUCUAUAUCAGACUUCUUCAUAAUUCCUGUCAUUAAAGAACUCUCAGCCCACUUCCCUCAAAGCCUACCAUCAGCCCAAACUUUCAGUGGAAUUCAUAAUUAUUGUUCAGCUCCACUUGUAAUUUUCUUUUUGGAAACACUUGAUUGGAAGAUGAUUAUGAGAGGGUUAAUGAAAAAAAGAGCCCCCAAAAAUGCUAAACGCCAGGACGUCAGAUGAUGGAGAGAGAGGAUCCCUUGAAUCUAAUUUAAACUAAAAAGAUGUUUUUGAAACCAAAAAUAAAUCUUGCUCCAGAGUGAUUACCAGAUAAAACAUUUUAGUUAGUGGAUGGUGGACUGGCCCAUAUUUCAUGUUUCCCGUCAAUGUUCACUCUCUGUGCUACCUGAAGGGUCUGAGUGUUCAGCUGAUGAAUGUUUUGUGACUUUAAAAGACUAUUUAUCACCACCACAGCUAAUGCAAUUUUCCAAAGCAUAAUCCAAAGGCGUUUUGUGAAAAGAAUUUCCUGCCUGAAAGUGUCCCCAUCGUUACCUUUCUAGACUGUAGGUGGGGGCCACCCAACUUCUUGAGGCCUGACAAUUAUGUGAUAGGAUAUGGUUUCCUGCUCCUUCACCUCUUUUUUUUUUAAUGUUUAUUUUAGAUUCAGGGAGUACCUGUGCAGGUUUGUUACAUGGUACAUUGUGUGUUGCUGAGAUUUGGUGUACAAAUGAUCCCAUCACCCAGGUAGUGAGCAUAGUACCAGACAGGUAGUUUUUUAACCCCAGCUCUCUUCACAUCCUCCUCCCUCAAGUAGAUCCUGGUGUCUGUUGUUUCCAUCUUUGUGUCUUUAUGUACUCAGUGUUUAGCUCCUGCUUAUAAGUGGGAGCAUGCAAUAUUUGGUUUUCAGUUUCUAUGUUCGUUUGCUUAGAAUAAUGGCCUCCAACUGCAUCCAUGUUGCUGCAAAGAACAUGCUUUUGUUCCUUUUUUAUGCCUGUGUAGUAUUGCACGGUGUAUAUGCACAUUUUCAUUAUCCGAUCCACUGUCAAUGAGCAUCUAGGUUGAUUCCAUAUCUUUGCUAUUGUCCUCCACCUUUUUGUUCUGGCUUAGCCCCAACAGGCUCCCUGUUUCCUCCCUCUUUUCUUGUAAUCCUCCUCCCCUGCCCUGGUAGAAAUGGUGGUCUGGGAUAUUGUUAUGUGUAUAUUCACAUGAGAGUUUGAUGCUUUGGAAAUUCUCCUCUCAGUGACUAAAAAGUUCUUUUUGGAAGACCAAGUAUAAAGGAAGAGCAAUAACUGGGUGAAGAUGGCACCUGGGUAAAGUGGAGGCAGCAGGGAGAUAGAUAAUGAAAGCAGAAAGAAGGUGGACCAGUAAGAGACUCAUGGGCAUCUAUGUAAAGUGACUCCAGUAGUACCUGGAAGGUGGAACCACACAGAGAGAUUCGCAUCAUCCCAAGGGGCUGCCUUGUCAGCUAUAGAUAAGAUUAAUCCAUUUCUACUCAGAAUCAUUAGAAGGUUUCAGUGAUAUGUCUAAGAAUUAUUCUAUUGAUAGGUAGAAAAGAAUUUUAUUACAGUUAAAGGGCCAUGUGUAUACCUUGACAAAAUCAACAGUUCCUAUUUCAUCUGGAUUGUUUGCUUGACUUACAUUGCACAGGUUGUGAGGUUUGUUUUUAACAAUUUUUUUUUCUUGAGAUGGAGUCUCGCUCUGUCACCCAGGCUGGAGUGCAAUGGCGCGAUCUCGGCUCACUGCAACCUCCGCCUCCCGAGUUCAAGCAAUUCUCCUGCCCCAGCCUCCUAAGUAGCUGGGACUACAGGCAAGCGCCACUAUGCCCAGCCAAUUUUUUGUAUUUUUAGUAGAGAUGGGGUUUCACUCUGUUAGCCAGGAUGAUCUCGAUCUCUUGACCUCAUGAUCCACCUGCCUUGGCCUCUCGAAGUGCUGGGAUUACAGGCAUGAGCCACUGCUCCCGGCUAAUAAAAUGUUUUAAGCAUACGAAAAAUAUGCAGAAUAAUAUGAAGACCACCUGCGCUCACUCAAUCCACAUUGUCAAACCUACAUUUUAUUACAUCUGCCUCAGAUAAUUCUUCUACUUUAAAAAAAAAAUAAAAUUCUGCAGAUAGGCCCAGAAAUUCUAAUCUUGGACUUUUCCUCCAAGUAAAAUGAACAGUUAUAGUCUCACAAAAAUCUGUACAUGAAUGGUCAGAGUGGCUUUAUUUAUAAUCACCCAAAUCUGAUAGCAAUCCACACAGCUUCUGAGGGGUGAAAGGAUAACAAAUCAUGGUAUAUCAAUUCAAUAGAAUACUACUCAGCAAUUAAAAUCAGGAAACUACCAAUACACACAACAACAUGGAUGAAUUUCAAGUGUGUUUUUAGUGACGAAACCCAUACUCAAAGGCUGCAUGACUGCAUUUUUAUAUUUCAGAAAAAGCUAACUUUAUAGAUAAAAAACAGAUUAGUACAUGCCAAAGGCUGGACGUGGAGAGGACUGACUACAAAAGGGGAUGAGGAAAUUUAGGGGGUGAUAAGCCUGUUCUGUAUCUUGAUUUUGGUGGUGGCUACAUUAUAGUGUUUGGCAAAACUCACAGAACUGUACCCCAUGAUGAAUGACUUUUAUUGCAUUUAUUUUUUAUUUUAAUAAAGAAGAGAAAAAAUAGUAACGAA